rnacentral:rRNA from 1 species
UACGGGGGGGAGCAAGCGUUGUUCGGAUUUACUGGGCGUAAAGGGCGCGUAGGCGGCCAGCACAAGUCAGUUGUGAAAUCUCCGGGCUUAACUCGGAAAGGUCAACUGAUACUGUGCGGCUAGAGUGCAGAAGGGGCAACUGGAAUUCUCGGUGUAGCGGUGAAAUGCGUAGAUAUCGAGAGGAACACCUGCGGCGAAGGCGGGUUGCUGGGCUGACACUGACGCUGAUGCGCGAAAGCCAGGGGAGCGAACAGG